AAACUUGCUUUUCCUGCAGAUGCUGACACACCCUGGGUCAACCUGUUCAUCUGUUAGCCGCUGCUAAGGAUUGGAGACCCUCCUCUGUUGCUACAAAGCUAAAGAAAAUGGGGAAAAAAAUGUAAUAUCUCAGGACCUCAUUCCACUGCGCUGUGAACUCUGACUUUGAGAUGAGCAGGGCGGCAUGAUGGUCGGACAAACUGCACUUCAACUUGAGGAACCAGGUUCAAGCCCUUUUGUUCGCAAGCGUCUGCUCUGCUGAAUUCCAGAUAGAUCCAGGGGAUCUGCUCUGUAGCUGAACCUGACCUCCCAGGAGGAUGACAAACACAAAUGCUAAUUCUGAACCGAUGGAGAUCGACUUUAGAGUGUCUUUAAAGCUGCACUAAAAAUAUUUGACCUGUAUUAUAUUUUUUGCUUAGUACUUCUAUUCCUGUGUGCACUGACGUGAUAAUGAGCUGCUGUAACAAAAGAUUUUCCCCUCUGGGAUCAAUAAAGUAUAUUUAAAUUAACAAUGUAUUAAAUGACAUGCAAUGUGAAAGGGGUCACUUGUAGAGGUGUAGCCACAGAGAAAUAUCACCAACUCUACAGUUCACCUCACCACUACAGAGCGUUUUCGUGUCUUUCAGCUUAUUGUUUUGGUUUUAUGGCCGCCAACUGGGUAGCAGGCAGCUGUUUUCAGAGUCUUAAAAGGAAGCAUCAGUUGCUGAUUUUGAUCAGCAACACUAUCAGCGCCUUUGUCAUAUGUUUUAUGUAGUACUGUAUCAAUGUAUCGAUAAAGCCUUAUCUGCUGUUCAAUUUCUUGUCAGAAUUUGGUUUAAAAAAAUUAUUGCAUCUUUUGUUUUAAUUUAAGAUCAUAGAAAAUUAUGUCACGCUUAUUGCUAUUGUUUUAGUGUUUCAAGACUUAGCUGAAAACUGUAACUAUAGAAUAAUAAUCAGAACUAAAUAAUCUUUUAGGUGUGAUGAGAAACGAAGAAGAAAGCAAAGCACAGUAGGUGGACAAUGCUUUAAUCAACAGACAACAAACAAAUCAAUUCCAUGGUUCUGUGUCAACAUGUUUCUAUGUGAUUAAAACAACAGUGACAUAAUUCUACUGGCAACUUCUGUCCUGCCUGAGUCGCUCAGAGUUUUUAUCCCUUUUGUUUAUUGCUGCCUUUAGAUAUUCUAUUACUAUCACACUAAUGGUUACCUAGUUUUUUCAAAACUACACUCUCUGGUUACCACGGGCACCAUCACCAUGGCAACAGUGCUGGAAUGUGGAAAUACAGGGUAUGCAUUAUUCACAAGCUAACACUGUACCAAAGAAAGGCCCAAUGUGUUUGUGCACACUUAGGAAGACGGGAUAUGGAGAUCUUUUUAGGGGCAUUUUAGUCAGUCCUCAGUUACGCAAGAGGCCGUUUGACAGUUAGAGGUUAAUUUUAGGGUGAUGGUAAGAAACUUUGGCAAUGAAUGCUGUCAGUGGGUCCACAUAUGUGGUAGAACGGGUCAUCCACCAAUCGGAAGGUCGGCAGUUUGAUCAAAGUGACCUUGGGCAAGACAAUGAACCCCAAAUUGCUCCCGAGGGCUGUGCCUUCAGUGUGUGUGAAUGAUUAGUUAGUUUCUUUGGACUGAUGGCAGUUAGCCUAUCUGCAGACUGGAAUAGGGGAAAACAACUAGCCUGGGUCUACCUGAAACCUGCCCACCAGCACCUCUACUCACUAAUUAACAUGUUAUUUCAGUUUUGUUUAAUCCGUAUCAAAACCAAAACAGUAAAAGCGAGAAGUUGCGGAAUGAAGGAUUAAGUAACCUGCAUGCCUUUUCAAAGAUUUUGGUUGUUUGAUUCUAAUUUCUAUGAAUGUAAUGCUAACAGACACGACGUAUAUCACAAAUGUUGUCAUUGUUAUUUCAUCCUAAUAAUAAAUGUUACCUUAUGUGAAACCACAACUGAUGGAUAGUGUGAGCCUGUGUGCGUACAGACUGAUCCAACCACUCACUGCUCUUGUUCUUUUAUACCAGGCUAAAAAAAAGAUGACAGCAAACUAAUUAUUGACUGAACACAGCUCUUAUGUCCUGUAACUCUACACUACACACACACACACAAAGACACACACAUACAUGACUAAUGUUGAACUAAUGGGUGGAGAUGAAUGGAGCAGCUCAGUGACCUUUCAGAUGACAGUGUUGAAAAAAGAGCUUGGUACAUGAAAACAAGUCUGUAACAAAUAAACAACAAUUUUAAUAAUGUUUAUUAAAAAAUACAACACAAUUUGGCAAUAAAUAGCAGUAUCAAAAUAUGUUAAUAAUGUCACUAUUGGCUCUAUUAUUACAGAAAUCUGUUUUGGUCUCAUAAAGGUUUCCUCCCUUAUUACUGUAACCUGUUUUAGUUACUGUACUUUAAGAAGAGCAGAGUGAACUCCAUGAUUCGAUUAAAGAGGGAUCUUUGAUAAGAGAAUAAUGUUAGCAGUGUCCACAUUUGCUUAACAUUUUAUUUCACACCUUCGCAAUUAACAGGCUCAAUAGCCAUAAUCAGUAUCUCAUGUAAUCACAAGGUAAACAAAGAUGUAAUUGUGUAAGUGCUGUAUGUUAUGUAUGUGUUAGUAUUUCUCAAAAAUGAGACCACUUAAUUUUCUGUUACAAUGCAGAGUAGAGGCAAGGAGUCUGUUGGCGGUUAUGGUCUCCCACAUUUACUUAAAGGAUAAAUCUAUAUUAUUGCUGU